CACGUACUGUGCGAACGUUAUUCGGAAUCACUGGGCUUAAAGGGUACGUAGGCGGUUAAUCAAGUCAGGUGUGAAAUGCCUGAGCUCAACUGAGGCACUGCGCUUGAAACUGAUUAGCUAGAGUAUUCCAGGGGUGUGCGGAACUUAUGGUGGAGCGGUGAAAUGCGUUGAUAUCAUGAGGAACACCGGAGGCGAAGGCGGCACACUGGGGAAUUACUGACGCUGAGGUACGAAAGCUAGGGUAGCGAACGGG
rnacentral:rRNA from 1 species